GACCUCGUAGCUCAGCUGGUAGAGCAUAACACUUUUAAUGUUGGGGCCCUGGGUUCGAGUCCCAGCGGGGUCA
rnacentral:tRNA from 1 species